rnacentral:lncRNA from 1 species
UACCCUGCUCCACUCUCUACAAUGGAUUCCGCAUGGCUCCACUACUUUCUGACAAGUCACGACAAUGGACACCACUCCACUCUCCGUAACAAACUCCACGUGGCCUUGAACGACCCCUGACGCCACUACUCUCCGUAACAAACUCCGUACGGCUCUGAACGGUCGACUAUCAAGCGGUUAUAGACGUCACUGUCAAUCAAUUGCACUCUCCGUCUAUAAAAAGGGGACCCCAGAUAUGUUCUUCUCUAAGCUUUAAACUCUAUCCCAAAACUCUGCUAAAAUUUCCACUUGAGCACUCCAUUUCUGUUGAGGCAGAGUACUGACUUGAGCAUCGGAGGGUC